UUCAAUUAUUUUUGCAAAAUCUUAGAACUCACAUCAGCCGAAAUUGUGAAAUGGAUAGGCUUGGGGAAGAUGAAUUAGCCUCAAUUUUGAAAUGGAUUCAAGACCCUCGUGACAGAAAUUCAUUUUCUCUGGUUUGCAAGCGUUGGUGCAAUGUUGAAGGCUUGAAUAAAUUUUCUCUCCGCGUUUUUGAGCCUAAUUACCUCCUAAGUUUUCUACCAAGAUUCCCAAAUUUGCUUAUGUUUGAAUCAUCGGAGCCAAUCUCAGAUGCCCAGAUGGAGUUUCUUGCAAGAACAUGCCCCAGCAUUCAGAAACUCAACCUCUACUACCACGAGGCAUUUCACACCUGGGCAUCAGCUAGACAUUCCGACUUUGGCCAUGUUGGUUUAUGUGCUCUGGCAAAAGGGUGUUGCAAUUUGAGGUCAGUGGUGUUGAGGCGGAGAAGAGGAGUCAGCAAUGCUGGAGUUUCUUCGCUUGUUAAGUUUUCGCGAAAUUUAGUGAAUUUGGACGUGAGAUGGUGUAAAGUGAUUAGUGAUGAAGCACUUGAGGCAAUUGGGACCAUGAGUGCUUUGACAAGCUUGAAUUUGCAAGGUUGUUGUUUAAUUUCUGAUGAGGGGCUGGCUUCUUUGGCAAAAGGGUCUCUGUGCAAGUCCCUUGAGUUCUUAAAUCUUGCAGAAUGUGAUCGAAUUUCGGAUGAUGGGGUGAUGAAAUUGGUGGCAAUGAAGUCCUUGGAGGUAUUGAAAUUGGCAGAAUGUGGUCCAAAAGUGACUGAUGUUGGUGGGAGGGCUGUGGCUGCAAUUGAAAGUCUCAAGAGAUUGAAUUUAUCGUGGCUGAUAAAUGUAUCUGAUGACACAGUUUUUGCUCUGGCUCAAAAUAGCAAAAAUUUGGCGACACUUCAUUUAGAGGGCUGUGAAUUGGUUACAGGAGAUGGUAUCCGUGCAUUUACUGGCCACAAGUCUUUACGUAAGCUAGAAUUGUAUGGUAUUUAUAAAUUUAACGUAAAUGAUGUCGAAGAGCUGGUGCUUGGAUGCCAAUCUUUGGAGUUUAUUGGAAUGGAUCAAAGAUUGAGAAGUUGGAUACCUGUUACAGAGCAGGGGAAUAUAUUUAGGCCAGAUUGUCGGAUUUCUUGGAGGUUAUAGACCAAUAAAAGACUUACAUUUGUUAGUAGAAGGAAUUGUUCUGCAGGUAACUGUGUCCUUUUCUUUUACUUCCCGUUCCUGUAUGCCAUUUUUAUAAUGCAAUUUGGUUUCAAUGCGGGUGACAUCUCUUAUACUGUGAUUUUUGCUCCUCAUUGUAUUCUAGACAAACAUGAUGAUGAUAAGUGCAAAGGCAAAGACAAGACAGAAAUUCAAGCUUCUAUUCUAGGUGAAGGGAUUUCACAUUAGGACGUAUCCCUACUAGAAGGCCAAUUUGGUGAAGUACCUAUACGGAAUUACUUUGGUUUCCUGCAAAAGAAUUGGAUAUCUUGUAGCAUGUGGUGCCAUUAUAAUAUCCUUUACAAGAUGCUAAUGUAAUGCUCAUUCAUAAAAGUUAAGGUCAAGGAUAGCCUGUGGUUCGUGAACCAUUAUGAAGUAUAACAUAACAUCCCUGUAGUUUUAGAAUGCUCACCUUUCGCAUGUGGUCUGAAACGUGAGCCAACUAGAAGUUGGAGUUCGUACUUUCUCCAGACAGCUAUGUUCGUGUCUGACUGGUGAUUUUUCUUUUUUAUUGUUUUAUAUUUUUUUUCUUUUUGUUUAUGUAGAAAUGUCAAAUGGAUUUGAGUUAAUGGUGCUCAAGUUUGUCAAGAUUGUCUUCAGCAGGCACAAUGUAUCAUCUUUAGAGGGCUAGGAAUGGAAGUGUUCAGUUGUUCAAUUACACUUGAUAUUGCUAGCAGUACAAGCCUUGAUGGUCUUCUCAAUGUGUUCCAAUACGUGCUCUUGAUGUUGUCAGCACAAGUUUUAAGUAUUGGCAUAUGAAUUCUUGCCUUUCAGGCUUUUAUAGAGGAACUCUGUCUACAUUUACUAGGAUUUUAGAUUUGUGGUUAAAGAUGUGCAUUUAGCAGCCUUCAUAUGCAGGAAUUGCCAUAUAGAAGUAUUUGAAUUUGAUAGUUAUAUACAUCUAGAAAACAAGAAUGCUUGCAUUACAACUGAACACAAGGGGAGUUACAAACUUACAAUUGUCACUCCAUAUGUGCUGCAUAUAUUUCUGUUCCUUUUCCAGGGUCUGAACUAGAAAGUGCCCUUCUCUUGAA